AGCGAACGCCGGCGGCAGGCCUAACACAUGCAAGUCGAACGAACCUUUCGGGGUUAGUGGCGGACGGGUGAGUAACACGUGGGAACGUGCCUUUAGGUUCGGAAUAACUCAGGGAAACUUGUGCUAAUACCGAAUGUGCCCUUCGGGGGAAAGAUUAAUCGCCUUUAGAGCGGCCCGCGUCUGAUUAGCUAGUUGGUUGAGGUAAUGGCUCACCAAGGCGACGAUCAGUAGCUGGUCUGAGAGGAUGAUCAGCCACAUUGGGACUGAGACACGGCCCAAACUCCUACGGGAGGCAGCAGUGGGGAAUCUUGCGCAAUGGGCGAAAGCCUGACGCAGCCAUGCCGCGUGAAUGAUGAAGGUCUUAGGAUUGUAAAAUUCUUUCACCGGGGACGAUAAUGACGGUACCCGGAGAAGAAGCCCCGGCUAACUUCGUG
rnacentral:rRNA from 1 species